UCCCUGGUGGUCUGGUGGUUAGGACUCUACACUAUCACUGCUGAGGGCCCAGGUUCAAUCCCUGGUCAGGGAA
rfam:TPA: Bos taurus chromosome 3, whole genome shotgun sequence.